rnacentral:lncRNA from 1 species
GAAUCCUGCACCUUGGUGCUGAGCACGCGACAAAAGUUUUCAGCUGCUCCUCAGUUUCUGGUGCUUCGCAGAGGAAAGGAAAGGACUUUGACAUUAAACCCAAGAAGCAGUCAGGCAACAUCUUUAACUUUUCUGCUCUGUUAUCAUUUGCGAUGAAGAGGAAACAGAAGAGAUUUCUGCAGAUGACUUUGAUAUUCAUGGUGGCUUUAAUUUUCCUGCCCAAUAUCGGUCUCUGGUCUCUGUAUAAGGAUAAGCACCUGGUGAAAUCCACCGAGCCCGGGGAGCAGCAGAAUCUAAUGGUCACUUGAGCCAAGACCUAAUUAAUCCUUCACUCAGAGGACACUGUCUCCUUUGCCUUGUGUUCUGGAUUUGUGCUGGGAGUUGGUCAGUUCUGUACAUGCAAUGCCACAACAUUUGGUUCUCGGCCAGGAUGAACCCACAGUGCUUCACAGUUUGAACAUGGACCCUGAUGAAGCAUUUUUCAGAGGUAACUGCCCUGCAGUCCACACCCUUGGCCGAGUUAUCCUGCCCUCCUCCUGACUGUGGCAUCAUAACCACAAUUCUUCAGGAGAGUCUUCUGCUCGAAACUCAAAUCGAGGGUAUCUCUGGAAACCCUAGCUACAGAGCUGAAAUGCUGCCCUGUUUCUUCUGAAAUCAACACUCUCUUUUAAAUGACAUUGAAAACAAAGAAUGAAACCAGCAGUGCUAUCUAUCAAACGGGAAAUAAAGGUGGAAAUAUGCCUUGCAAAUGAGACAUGGAAGCUGUUGAGGCCAGGGGACAAUCUGAAUGUUACAUUCCCUUGUAUGUCAAAGGACAUACUUUACUGCCAGAGAAGAAAGUGGCUUGUUCCCUCCUACAUUCAGACAGUCUCUGUGGUGACUGCAAAGGGGUGUCUAAACACAUAUUAGCCCAUGAAAGUCAAAAGAGGUCUGUCUAUCUGUCUGUCUAUUUCUCUCUCUCUCUCUCCCUACCUCCUUUUAUCUAUCCACCUGUUAUUUAUCUAUCUACAGAUGAUUAUUAUGUGAUAAAGCAGUUAACCUUUUCUGUGGGUCGAAAGACAGAAGGAGAAUAUGGUGGCAAUGCUGGGAGCACAGAUUUUGGUUCAAGUGUUUGGAUAACUUCUACCCAGAACGUCAGGCAGUGGGCUGAGUGAGUAAUUCCUGGGGACUGUGUAGCACUAGUGUGUGAAAUGCAUGCUGUUGUCUGUGGGCGAGGAAAAUCAUUCUCACUCUGCCCUUCUAGUUCUUGGCUAAGACCCCUCACUAAUAAAAAAAAAAAAAAAAAAAAAAAAAA